rnacentral:rRNA from 1 species
GACGAACGCUGGCGGCGUGCCUAAUACAUGCAAGUAGAACGCUGAAGGAGGAGCUUGCUUCUCUGGAUGAGUUGCGAACGGGUGAGUAACGCGUAGGUAACCUGCCUGGUAGCGGGGGAUAACUAUUGGAAACGAUAGCUAAUACCGCAUAAUAGUAGAUGUUGCAUGACAUUUGCUUAAAAGGUGCAAUUGCAUCACUACCAGAUGGACCUGCGUUGUAUUAGCUAGUUGGUGGGGUAACGGCUCACCAAGGCGACGAUACAUAGCCGACCUGAGAGGGGGAUCGGCCACACUGGGACUGAGACACGGCCCAGACUCCUGCGGGAGGCAGCAGUAGGGAAUCUUCGGCAAUGGACGGAAGUCUGAACGAGCAACGCCGCGUGAGUGAAGAAGGUUUUCGGAUCGUAAAGCUCUGUUGUAAGAGAAGAACGAGUGUGAGAGUGGAAAGUUCACACUGUGACGGUAUCUUACCAGAAAGGGACGGCUAACUACGUG